AACGUUUUCUUGUCAUAGCAUGGCAUCUGCGAUCGAAACUUUUAUAGUGUAAACCUACCCUAACGGUAUAGGCGUAUACGCUACGAUUUUAAUCAGUGACAUGGUUUAUAGAUGCAUGUCACCAAUAGAAACAGCCUGUUUUAUAUUCAGUAAGCACAUUGAUUUAGUAUUCUGUCAUAAUUUACUUACCAUGCAUCUAAACUGGCAAUCUUCUGACGAAAUCGUACCGUGUAUGCCCAAAUUAAGCUGCAAUAUUAAAGGAGCUUUAAAUCUGUGGCAAAUGAAAUCUUUACAUAUUUGCUUCGCUGAAGCAAAUUUGUAAAGCACGUUACUAAAUGCAAAAGCAAAAUGCCACAAUCAACGUUGCAAGCUAAAAUGCAAAAUAGAAAAUAUGGCGGCACUAAAACAAAACGUUAACGACUAUAUACCUAUAUAUCGUCGUAUCAAUAUGGCUUAUCGAGAAAGGUUUUUUCGUGCGCUCUAAAAUGGUGAGUAAAUGCCCUUUUACUUUUUUAAUCGAUAGUGAUGCGUCAUAUAUAUAUUUAUUCAGUUGUGAUGUAAAUACCUUAAUAGGUCGGUCGCUUAACGACAAUGUUUUCGUUUUGUGCCAGACAUCAUCAUUUAAAGUCCGGUUGUUAAUUGAUGAAUUGCAAAUAG